rnacentral:rRNA from 1 species
AUAUCAAUAAGCGGAGGAAAAGAAACCAACAGGGAUUGCCUCAGUAGCGGCGAGUGAAGCGGCAAAAGCUCAAAUUUGAAAUCUGGCGUCUUUGGCGUCCGAGUUGUAAUUUGAAGAAGGUAUCUUUGGGCCCGGCUCUUGUCUAUGUUCCUUGGAACAGGACGUCACAGAGGGUGAGAAUCCCGUGCGAUGAGAUGACCCGGGUCUGUGUAAAGUUCCUUCGACGAGUCGAGUUGUUUGGGAAUGCAGCUCUAAGUGGGUGGUAAAUUCCAUCUAAAGCUAAAUAUUGGCGAGAGACCGAUAGCGAACAAGUACAGUGAUGGAAAGAUGAAAAGAACUUUGAAAAGAGAGUGAAAAAGUACGUGAAAUUGUUGAAAGGGAAGGGCUUGAGAUCAGACUUGGUAUUUUGCAUGUUGCUCUCUCGGGGGCGGCCGCUGCGGUUUACCGGGCCAGCAUCGGUUUGGAGCGGCAGGAUAAUGGCGGAGGAAUGUGGCACGGCUUCUGCUGUGUGUUAUAGCCUCUGACGAUACUGCCAGCCUAGACCGAGGACUGCGGUUUUUACCUAGGAUGUUGGCAUAAUGAUCUUAAGUCGCCCGUCUUGAAACACGG